rnacentral:misc_RNA from 1 species
AAUUUCUCUCUUCUAGCUUAACCCCAAACACUAAUCAAGUUCCCAAAUCAGCUGAAAAGCAAGCGAAAGGGGGGAAAUGGGAUUAGUGUUUUCACGAUUGUUUUCUUCGUUAUUUGGAAACAAGGAAGCUCGGAUCUUAGUUCUUGGACUUGACAAUGCUGGCAAAACAACAAUUCUCUAUCGUCUUCAGAUGGGUGAAGUAGUUUCCACUAUACCAACAAUUGGAUUUAAUGUUGAGACGGUGCAGUAUAACAAUAUAAAGUUUCAAGUUUGGGAUCUAGGGGGACAGACUAGUAUCAGGCCAUACUGGAGGUGCUAUUUUCCUAAUACUCAAGCUAUAAUCUACGUUGUCGACUCAAGUGACACUGAUAGGCUCGUGGUUGCUAAAGAGGAGUUCCACGCCAUAUUGGAGGAGGAAGAGUUGAAGGGUGCUGUUGUCCUCAUCUAUGCUAACAAGCAGGAUCUUCCUGGUGCACUUGAUGAUGCUGCAGUGACUGAGGCCUUAGAGCUGCACAAGAUUAAAAGUAGGCAGUGGGCUAUUUUUAAGACUUCUGCCAUCAAAGGAGAAGGGCUCUUUGAGGGCUUGGACUGGUUG